CAAGUACUCCCUUCGUCCGAAAAUAUUUGUCGAGAAACGGAUGUGUCUAGACGUAUUUUAGUUCUAGAUACAUCCAUCCUCCGACAAGUAUUUCCGGACGGAAGGAGUAUAAA
rfam:Triticum aestivum genome assembly, contig: Triticum_aestivum_CS42_TGACv1_scaffold_433098_5DL